GUGCAGCAGGCGAGAAAACUCCGCAAUGCUCGAAAGAGUGACGGGGGAUUCCAAGUGCCUACGCUUAGCGUAGGCUGUUCAGAUGCCUAAAAAGCAUCUGGAGUAAGGGCUGGGUAAGACGGGUGCCAUCUGCAGUGGUAACGAAAAACUUGCUACUGCAAGGCAUAAGCCGCCGCGGUAAUACCCGCAGCCCGAGUGGUAGUCGCUUUUAUUGGGCCUAAAGCGUCCGUAGCCGGUCUGGUAAAUGCCUGGGUAAAUCGUGGGGCCUAACCUCACGAAUUCCGGGUAGACUGCCAGACUUGGGACCGGUUGAGGGAGAGGGUACUCCGAGGGGUAGGGGUGAAAUCCUGUAAUCCUUGGAGGACCACCGGUGGCGAAAGCGCUCUCCUAGGACGGGUCCGACGGUGAGGGACGAAAGCCGAGGGGAGCAAACCGGAUUAGAUACCCGCGUAGU
rnacentral:rRNA from 1 species